AUGACUUGCAGAUGGGAAGUCCGCGAGGCGAACAGGAAGCGGCGGCGCGCUAGACGGCUGCAGAGGAGAGAGGCCACAACGGGAGGAGGAGCUCAGGUGGAGCAACUCCUCGCUUUUGUCACCAUGUCCAAAGUCGUAUCCCUCGAGGCUGCAGUUCUCAAAAAAUAUAGAUCACAAUCUAAUUUGUCCUCUCCUUGA
rnacentral:rRNA from 1 species